rnacentral:rRNA from 1 species
GACGAACGCUGGCGGCGUGCUUAACACAUGCAAGUCGAACGGAAAGGCCCUGCUUUUGUGGGGUGCUCGAGUGGCGAACGGGUGAGUAACACGUGAGUAACCUGCCCUUGACUUUGGGAUAACUUCAGGAAACUGGGGCUAAUACCGGAUAGGAGCUCCUGCUGCAUGGUGGGGGUUGGAAAGUUUCGGCGGUUGGGGAUGGACUCGCGGCUUAUCAGCUUGUUGGUGGGGUAGUGGCUUACCAAGGCUUUGACGGGUAGCCGGCCGGAGAGGGUGACCGGCCACAUUGGGACUGAGAUACGGACCAGACUCAUACGGGAGGCAGGAGGGGGGAAUAUAGCACAAUGGGCGGAAGCCUGAUGCAGCAACGCCGCGUGCGGGAUGACGGCCUUCGGGUUGUAAACCGCUUUCGCCUGUGACGAAGCGUGAGUGACGGUAAUGGGUAAAGAAGCACCGGCUAACUACGU